rnacentral:rRNA from 1 species
ACGAACGCUGGCGGCGUGCUUAACACAUGCAAGUCGAACGGAAAGGCCCUGCUUUUGUGGGGUGCUCGCGUGGCGAACGGGUGAGUAACACGUGAGUAACCUGCCCUUGACUUUGGGAUAACUUCAGGAAACUGGGGCUAAUACCGGAUAGCAGCUCCUGCUGCAUGGUGGGGGUUGGAAAGUUUCGGCGGUUGGGGAUGGACUCGCGGCUUAUCAGCUUGUUGGUGGGGUAGUGGCUUACCAAGGCUUUGACGGGUAGCCGGCCUGAGAGGGUGACCGGCCACAUUGGGACUGAGAUACGGCCCAGACUCCUACGGGAGGCAGCAGUGGGGAAUAUUGCACAAUGGGCGGAAGCCUGAUGCAGCAACGCCGCGUGCGGGAUGACGGCCUUCGGGUUGUAAACCGCUUUCGCCUGUGACGAAGCGUGAGUGACGGUAAUGGGUAAAGAAGCACCGGCUAACUACGUG